GCCAGACCCUACGGGAGGCAGCAGUGAGGAAUAUUGGUCAAUGGACGAGAGUCUGAACCAGCCAAGUAGCGUGAAGGAUGACUGCCCUAUGGGUUGUAAACUUCUUUUAUAAAGGAAUAAAACGAGGCACGUGUGCCUUUUUGCAUGUACUUUAUGAAUAAGGAUCGGCUAACUCCGUGCCAGCAGCCGCGGUAAUACGGAGGAUCCGAGCGUUAUCCGGAUUUAUUGGGUUUAAAGGGUGCGUAGGCGGAAUGCCAAGUCAGCGGUAAAAUCGCGGGGCUCACCCUCGCUCCGCCGUUGAAACUGGCGUUCUUGAGUGGGCGAGAAGUAUGCGGAAUGCGUGGUGUAGCGGUGAAAUGCGUAGAUAUCAGGAGGAACACCGGCGGCGAAGGCGGCCUGCUGGACCGCGACUGACGUUGAGGCUCGAAAGCGUGGGGAGCAAACAGGAUUAGAUACCCUAGUAC
rnacentral:rRNA from 1 species